UACAGAGGGUGCGAGCGUUAAUCGGAAUUACUGGGCGUAAAGCGCACGUAGGUGGCGACGUAAGUCGGGUGUGAAAGCCCCGGGCUCAACCUGGGAAUUGCAUUCGAGACUGCAUUGCUGGAGUACGGAAGAGGAAGGCGGAAUUCCCGGUGUAGCGGUGAAAUGCGCAGAUAUCAGGAGGAACACCGGUGGCGAAGGCGGGACUCUGGGCCGAUACUGACGCUGAGGAGCGAAAGCGUGGGGAGCAAACAGG
rnacentral:rRNA from 1 species